rnacentral:rRNA from 1 species
GAUGAACGCUGGCUACAGGCUUAACACAUGCAAGUCGUGGGGAAACGGCUAUUGCUUGCAAUCGGACUCCGGCGACGGUGAUAUCGCGACAACUCCCAUGGGGUACCCUAAGAGGCUAUCCCUGUGUCUGAGACGAUGAAUCAAGUUUCCGGUAGGGAUGGGGAUGCGUCUGAUUAGCUUGUUGGCGGGGCAACGGCCCCCAAGGCGACGAUCAGUAGGGGUUCUGAGAGGAAGGUCCCCCACAUUGGAACUGAGACACGGUCCAAACUCCUACGGGAGGCAGCAGUGAGGAAUAUUGGUCAAUGGACGCAGCUGAACCAGCCAAGUAGCGUGCAGGAUGACGGCCCUAUGGGUUGUAAACUGCUUUUAUGGGGAUAAAGUGGCGCACGUGUCGCCGUUGCAUGUACCUCAUGAU